GUGCCAGCAGCCGCGUGUAAUACGGAGGAUGCGAGCGUAAUCCGGACUUAUUGGGCUUAAAGGGUGCGUAGGCGGAUCAAUAAGUCAGUGGUGAAAUUCUGCAGCUUAACUGUAGACUUGCCAUUGAUACUGUUGGUCUUGAGUAUGGUCAAGGCAGGCGGAAUGUGUAAUGUAGCGGUGAAAUGCUUAGAUAUUACACAGAACACCGAUUGCGAAGGCAGCUUGCUGGGCCAAUACUGACGCUGAUGCACGAAAGCGUGGGGAUCGAACAGGAUUAGAUACCCUGGUAGUCCACGCCGUAAACGAUGAUCACUCGCUGUUAGCGACAUACAGUUAGCGGCUAAGCAAAAGCAUUAAGUGAUCCACCUGGGGAGUACGGCCGCAAGGCUGAAACUCAAAGGAAUUGACGGGGGCCCGCACAAGCGGAGGAACAUGUGGUUUAAUUCGAUGAUACGCGAGGAACCUUACCUGGACUUAAAUGUAGAGUGCAUGAGGUAGAAAUACUUCUUUUCUUAGGAACUCUCUGCAAGGUGCUGCAUGGUUGUCGUCAGCUCGUGCCGUGAGGUGUCGGGUUAAGUCCCAUAACGAGCGCAACCCUUAUCGUUAGUUGCCAGCGGGUAAUGCCGGGGACUCUAGCGAAACUGCCGGUGUAAACCGAGAGGAAGGUGGGGAUGACGUCAAAUCAGC
rnacentral:rRNA from 1 species